rnacentral:rRNA from 1 species
AUUGAACGCUGGCGGCAGGCCUAACACAUGCAAGUCGAACGGUAACAGGAAGCAGCUUGCUGCUUUGCUGACGAGUGGCGGACGGGUGAGUAAUGUCUGGGAAACUGCCUGAUGGAGGGGGAUAACUACUGGAAACGGUAGCUAAUACCGCAUAACGUCGCAAGACCAAAGAGGGGGACCUUCGGGCCUCUUGCCAUCGGAUGUGCCCAGAUGGGAUUAGCUAGUAGGUGGGGUAACGGCUCACCUAGGCGACGAUCCCUAGCUGGUCUGAGAGGAUGACCAGCCACACUGGAACUGAGACACGGUCCAGACUCCUACGGGAGGCAGCAGUGGGGAAUAUUGCACAAUGGGCGCAAGCCUGAUGCAGCCAUGCCGCGUGUAUGAAGAAGGCCUUCGGGUUGUAAAGUACUUUCAGCGAGGAGGAAGGUGUUGUGGUUAAUAACCGCAGCAAUUGACGUUACUCGCAGAAGAAGCACCGGCUAACUCCGUGCCAGCAGCCGCGGUAAUACGGAGGGUGCAAGCGUUAAUCGGAAUUACUGGGCGUAAAGCGCACGCAGGCGGUUUGUUAAGUCAGAUGUGAAAUCCCCGGGCUCAACCUGGGAACUGCAUUUGAAACUGGCAAGCUUGAGUCUCGUAGAGGGGGGUAGAAUUCCAGGUGUAGCGGUGAAAUGCGUAGAGAUCUGGAGGAAUACCGGUGGCGAAGGCGGCCCCCUGGACGAAGACUGACGCUCAGGUGCGAAAGCGUGGGGAGCAAACAGGAUUAGAUACCCUGGUAGUCCACGCUGUAAACGAUGUCGACUUGGAGGUUGUGCCCUUGAGGCGUGGCUUCCGGAGCUAACGCGUUAAGUCGACCGCCUGGGGAGUACGGCCGCAAGGUUAAAACUCAAAUGAAUUGACGGGGGCCCGCACAAGCGGUGGAGCAUGUGGUUUAAUUCGAUGCAACGCGAAGAACCUUACCUACUCUUGACAUCCAGAGAACUUAGCAGAGAUGCUUUGGUGCCUUCGGGAACUCUGAGACAGGUGCUGCAUGGCUGUCGUCAGCUCGUGUUGUGAAAUGUUGGGUUAAGUCCCGCAACGAGCGCAACCCUUAUCCUUUGUUGCCAGCGGUUAGGCCGGGAACUCAAAGGAGACUGCCAGUGAUAAACUGGAGGAAGGUGGGGAUGACGUCAGGUCAUCAUGGCCCUUACGAGUAGGGCUACACACGUGCUACAAUGGCAUAUACAAAGAGAAGCGACCUCGCGAGAGCAAGCGGACCUCAUAAAGUAUGUCGUAGUCCGGANNGGAGUAAUCACUAG